AGCCGCAAAGUUAAUAUUAUUCACUUAAUGAGAGACGACAGUACAAGUCUUUCGAUCUCGAAUGUGUUGUAUAUGAGGCGUUUAAAGAAGUCAUCGAUGACAAUCUUUCCGGUGACCUAAACAAAAUGAUAUCAAAACUAACAGAAAACUAGACACAUCUGAUCGUGCCAUAUGUGGAAUACGAAAGCGGACACUUAUCAUUUUUAUGUGUGAACUCUAUAAAAAUGUGAGAAAAAGUUUCUGGACAAAUAUCAACUUAUAAUGCUGGAAAUAAUUUGCAUGAUACGUGCGGAAGAUGUGGCAGAAAAGGCUUAUAAUCAAUGAUGACAAUAAUUGUGGCAACAAUAAUUCUGAUAAGAAAAAUUCUGUUGAAAAUAAUCCUUCUAUAAGACUAGUUCUAUUAAGAAUUAAUAAUUUUGAUAAAGAGCUAUCUUCCCAUCCGGAAGAAGACAUGGCAAAGUAUAAUCUUUCACGCCCAGAGCAACGAAGCAAAAUUCCCCGAAGCUGCAUACAUGUAAACCAUAAUUUGACUGUCUUUACAGAAAUAUAUGUAUAUUAACGACGAUGGGAAUUUAUAAGAUACAAGAUAAAAAUGAUGUACUAUCAGUAA